AACGAACGCUGGCGGCGUGCUUAACACAUGCAAGUCGAACGCGAAAGGGACUUCGGUCCUGAGUAAAGUGGCGCACGGGUGAGUAACGCGUAGAUAACCUGUCUUCAUGUCUGGAAUAAUACGCCGAAAGGGGUACUAAUACCGGAUAUUCUUGCUUUUCAUAAGUUAUGCAAGCAAAGGUGGCCUCUGCAUAUGCUACUGCAUGAAGAGGGGUCUGCGUACCAUUAGCUAGUAGGUGGGGUAAUGGCCUACCUAGGCGACGAUGGUUAGCGGGUCUGAGAGGAUGAUCCGCCACACUGGCACUGGAACACGGGCCAGACUCCUACGGGAGGCAGCAGUGAGGAAUAUUGCGCAAUGGGGGAAACCCUGACGCAGCGACGCCGCGUGAGUGAGGAAGGCCUUCGGGUCGUAAGGCUCUGUCAAGAGGAAAGAAGUGUACAAUGGCUAAUACCUGUUGUAUUUGACGGUACCUCUAAAGGAAGCACCGGCUAACUCCGUGCCAGCCGCGGC
rnacentral:rRNA from 1 species